AUUGAACGCUGGCGUCCAGCAUAACACAUGCAAGUCGAGCGAGCGGCGGACGGGUGAGUAAUGUAUGGGGACUGCCCGCUAGAGGGGGAUAACUACUGGAAACGGUAGCUACUCCCGCAUACUAUCGGAUAACCUAUAUGGGAUUUGCUAGUUGGUGAGGUAAUGUCUCACCAAGGCGACGAUCCCUAGCUGGUCUAAGAGGAUGAUAAGCCAAACUGGGACUGAGACACGGCCCAGACUCCUACGGAGGCAGCAGUGGGGAAUAUUGCACAAUGGGCGCAAGCCUGAUGCAGCCAUGCCGCGUGUAUGAAGAAGGCCCUAGGGUUGUAAAGUACUUUCAGUCGGGAGGCGUUACCGACAGAAGAAGCACCGGCUAACUCCGUGCCAGCCGCCGCGGUAAUUC
rnacentral:rRNA from 1 species